rfam:Anaerolineae bacterium SM23_84 WORSMTZ_47043, whole genome shotgun sequence.
UUCUAGCCCGGUAUAUUGCCGGAGACAGCAGGUGCGCGUACGCGCUUAAUGCGAAUGCCUGCCGAGGCGGAGUAUCGCGGUGUUUUCGUUUCACUGUGAGUCUUUGCGCCUGGCAGGUCGGCGCAAAGGCUCUUUUGCUUUUCUC